rnacentral:rRNA from 1 species
ACCUAACCCUAAAUCGCUCUUUCCCUGUCCGUCCUCCUGUGUGCGGCGCCGCCGCUGCGCACAUCUCAGGCGAGUGCUUCCAACCAUCUCCUUGCCCUCCUCCACAUCUCCGGCCAAGGCGCUCACUUCUCCGACCCUCCUCCACAUCUCCUCGCCUCCACCCAUCCACUUCCUGUCCUUUGUUUCUCCAAGACUGCAGUAUGGUGCUCGGCGGCUGCGACAACGGAGCUGAUGGUGCGCCAGCCGACCAGUUGAACGGAGGCAGUAGCAAGGGGCAGCGGCAACAGCCUAGAGGGCGGAGGUUGAUUGGCAAGGUAAUGGAACUGCAAAUAGGAGUGGCAGCGGCAACCAUGAUGCAAGUGCAAGUGGUUCCCAAAUAUCUUGGAAAACUAUUUGGUAUUUGUUCGUAAAUUGGUUGAAGUUUUUUGGUGUGAGUAGACAUAACAGUGCAUUGCGCUGUUCAUGUAGUGAGAUGAGGAUGAUCACAAUUCAGAGUAUUUGGAUCUAUCCGUCAUAUUUCUAUAUGGUUCAAUUAAAGUGAGAGUGAGGAUAAUGAUGGGGUGAGUGAGGACAAGGAAGAUGAUCCAUCAAUGCAAGAUCAGCAAGAGGCACAAAUGCAAGUGGAAAAAGAGACGCAAAUUCAAGUGGAAAUGGACGCACCACCAAACGAUGGCAAUUUGGAGACCCGUAGAUCUGUACGGCUUGUCAAGAAGAAGACCAAGGACGUCAACAGCAUAUACUUGUUGCUUAGAAAUCUGCGGAAAUGCCACAUGGAGAACUAAGGAUAUCAAGAAGCUUUUGGAUGUAUGCAAGCUUGGAGCUGCUGUUUUAUAGAAAUGACAUGUGUAGAAAUAGAAUAACCAAGGAUAUAAAGAAGCUUUUGGAUAUAGGCAAGCUUGGAGCUGCUGUUUCAAUGUCAUGCUUUAAUGGUUGUCUUUUGGAGCUGUUGUUUCUAUCUGUAAUCCUUUUAAGUCUGUUGGCUGUACCGGACUAUUUAAAGUCUGAACUACGCUGUGAUGGUUGAACUGAUGCUGGACUGUUAAGGGUUAUGUUGGAGGCAACUUUAUAACUAAUGUGUGCCUGUUAUGUUGGACAGAUGCAGUUUUAUUAAUCCCUAGAGCUUAUUUGCUGAAGUUUAUAUGAUCAAUCCUGAUGGUUGUUGUGCUGCUAUGAUUAGGCUUUGUUUUAUUUCGAAUUUUGUUCGAAUUUCGGCCAAAUUUCGGUCGAAUUUUGGUCAAUUUUUCAAAUUUU